GCUUCUUAUUUUGGUUCCGGAGAUCAAACUCAGGACCUUGUGCUUCUGAGGCGGGUGGCAGAACCACUGAGCUAAAUCCCCAGCCCUAUUUCAGGCCUCUUGUCUUCCUUCAAUAGGAGCCUCUUCAAAAAGCAUUGAGUUCCACUAAAGGCAUUUUAGGGUUGCAUCUCUUCACUCCCGGACUGAGACAUUAUAAUAGAAACUCUACAUCUGGAACUUGUUGUCAAGGCAGAGGAAAAGAGGUUUUGACAAACUGUACAGAAACCUGUAACGCUUCCUCCCAAAUGUAACACAAGUAGCUUUUUCUUCGGAUUCUAUCACCAAAG
rnacentral:lncRNA from 1 species